CGGCACGGGUGAGUAACGCGUAUGCGACCUGCCCGUUGCAGGGGGAUAAAUCGGGAGAAAUCCCGUCUAAUACCGCGUAACGCCGCGGGGCUGCAUGGCCCUGCGGCCAAAGGGAGCGAUUCCGGCAACCGGAUGGGGCAUGCGUGACAUUAGCUAGUUGGCGGGGGCAACGGCCCACCAAGGCGACGAUGUCUAGGGGUUCUGAGAGGAAGGUCCCCCACACUGGUACUGAGACACGGACCAGACUCCUACGGAAGGCAGCAG
rnacentral:rRNA from 1 species